UCUCCGUUGGUGAACCAGCGGAGGGAUCAUUACCGAGUUUACAACUCUCAAACCCAAUGUGAACCAUACCAAACUGUUGCCUCGGCGGGGUCACGCCCCGGGUGCGUCGCAGCCCCGGAACCAGGCGCCCGCCGGAGGGACCAACCAAACUCUUUCUGUAGUCCCCUCGCGGACGUUAUUUUUACAGCUCUGAGCAAAAAUUCAAAAUGAAUCAAAACUUUCAACAACGGAUCUCUUGGUUCUG
rnacentral:misc_RNA from 1 species